CUACUGCAAAACAAAGAUGACUUUUCAAUCAAGAAUUUAUUUAUUCUUUAUAUCUGAAAGUAAAAGCCAUAGAAAAAACUAGGAGAAACUGAUUUACAAGAUAAAACAAUUAGCUCCGGGAUAUGUACAUUAAGACUAACUAAUUUCACAUCAUAUUUUAAGGAAUGGAGGAGGAAUCCCAGACAUAUUAGACUUUAUUCAAAUUCUACUGAAACGUUCAAUUAAGAGCAUCUUAUGAAGACAGAUAAAAAUGCCUUUUAAAACUCAAACAAGACUGUGUGAAAACAGCUCAAACCUAUCCAUCUCCCAGUUGGUUCUUAAAAAAAGGUCAUGGUCCAUCAGAAGCUGCUAUUUCUGCUGGGAUGGGUGCAAGUCAGACAGUGCCCUCGUAACCCCCCAGGAAGAACUGCCAGGGAGGCCAGCUCAGGG